GUCCGACUGUUUGAUCUCGUGGAAAAUGCUUCGGCAAAUCUGGAGGGGGGAGAUGCCGAAUUUGAGCCGCUAUAGCAGCAUGUGCUCACUCUAUCUCCUCUCAUCUCCAGUACUUGUUGGUAUCGAAUAAGUGAAAGUGCUGCUUCAUCCUCUUAAUUGCUUCGCAUUCUCACCCCGACAUCAGUUUGCUGCUAGCAUCAUCGUCGUUGCAGGGACGGUGGUGGAUUCCUGAAUGUCGCAGAUGGUGAUGACUUUAAUAAGGUCCUGUUUGUCGAUCGAUCAGUUUCUUCUGCCUAUUUAACAUGCGCCACUUCCCUAAUGCUCCACUUUUCUAAUGGAUUGGAAAAUGCAUUGGCGCAAUUAUCGCAAUCGUGCCAGAAAAGUGCUGUUCCUCCGCAAUUCUCGAUGUUCCGUCGGGAAAGGAUGGCCAAUCUUCCGCUCAAAGUUUAAGAUCCUUGUGAUGCGAUUUCGCAGAUUAAGAGGAGUCAAUUUCUACGCUGUAACGACAUGAAUACUUUCUGGUGGAUGGGGUAUCUGAAAGGCCAGAUCAAUUCAUUUGAGCAUUUUGCCACACACCUCUGCUUCGUCUCGUUCUUGAGGUCAGCGUUAGCUCAUACAGAUGAUACAACCCUACAUAACUGAUUUCCUUCUCCAUCAUUAACAACGAAGAUAUACCAUAUUUGAAAUGUCUCAAGGAUGCAAAAUCGCGAUGGUAUUCUGCGUUCUGAUUGCGAUUUCGAUUUUCUCUUGCCGUGGAAAACAAGGACUUGGCUACUCAACCCACAUUUAAGGCAUUACAUGAGUACACGUGGAUGUUGUACAGAGAUUGUAGUCAUUGAUUUUACGAACAUUUGUCGAUCAUUCUCUUGCAAUGUUGCAACAGCUAAUCUCACAACUUUUGUUA